AAAUUGGCCUUUAAUUGAGGUCGAGUAUGAACGGGUAUACGGAUAAUCUCUGUCUCAUUAAGAACUUUAUAAAUUUUCUAAGAAGGUGAAAAUUCCUUCAUGUAUAUGAAAGACGAGAAGACCCUUAGAGUUUUUAUUAAUAAGAAUUCAUUUUUUUUCUUUUCAUUUUUGUUGGGGCGACAUAGAAGCAAAAUUAACCUUCUUUAAUUAAUCUCUACAAAUGAAUGAUUAUAUAUGAAUAAACUACCUGAGGGAUAACAGCAUUAUUUAAUUAUAAGAUUA
rnacentral:rRNA from 1 species